rnacentral:pre_miRNA from 1 species
ACCACGUGGGGAUUUUGUUAAAAUACAGAAUCUGAUUCAGUGAGCCUGAAAAUUGGCCCAAAAUUCUGCAUUUCUAACAAGCUCCCAGAUGAUGCCAA